GACGCAGCAACGCCGCGUGGGUGAUGAAGGCCUUCGGGUCGUAAAGCCCUGUCAGGUGGGAAGAAACAUAUCGGUGGUUAAUAUCACCGAUUUUUGACGGUACCCCCGGAGGAAGCACCCGGCUAACUCCGUGCCAGCAGCCGCGGUAAUACGGAGGGUGCAAGCGUUGUUCGGAAUUACUGGGCGUAAAGCGCGUGUAGGCGGUCGGGCAAGUCAGAUGUGAAAUCCUUCCGCUUAACGGAAGAAGUGCAUUUGAAACUGCCCGGCUUGAGUACGGGAGAGGAGAGUGGAAUUCCCGGUGUAGAGGUGAAAUUCGUAGAUAUCGGGAGGAACACCAGU
rnacentral:rRNA from 1 species